CCCGGAUGGUGGAAUCGGUAGACACAAGGGAUUUAAAAUCCCUCGGCGUUCGCGCUGUGCGGGUUCAAGUCCCGCUCCGGGUACCA
rnacentral:tRNA from 1 species